UACAGAGACUGCAAGCGUUAUUCGGAUUCACUGGGCGUAAAGGGUGCGCAGGCGGCCGAGUGUGUUAGGCGUGAAAGCCUGAGGCUUAACCUCAGAAUUGCACCUAAAACUACAUGGCUAGAGCAUUGGAGAGGGUAGCGGAAUUCACGGUGUAGCAGUGAAAUGCGUAGAUAUCGUGAGGAACACCAGAGGCGAAGGCGGCUACCUGGACAAUUGCUGACGCUCAGGCACGAAAGCGUGGGGAGCAAAAAGGG
rnacentral:rRNA from 1 species